GUGGGGAAUAUUGGACAAUGGGCGAAAGCCUGAUCCAGCCAUGCCGCGUGUGUGAAGAAGGUCUUCGGAUUGUAAAGCACUUUAAGUUGGGAGGAAGGGCAGUAAGUUAAUACCUUGCUGUUUUGACGUUACCGACAGAAUAAGCACCGGCUAACUUCGUGCCAGCAGCCGCGGUAAUACGAAGGGUGCAAGCGUUAAUCGGAAUUACUGGGCGUAAAGCGCGCGUAGGUGGUUUUGUAAGUUGGAGGUGAAAUCCCCGGGCUCAAACUGGGAACUGCCUACAAAACUGCAUGACUAGAGUACGGUAGAGGGUAGUGGAAUUUCCUGUGUAGCGGUGAAAUGCGUAGAUAUAGGAAGGAACACCAGUGGCGAAGGCGACUACCUGGACUGAUACUGACACUGAGGUGCGAAAGCGUGGGGAGCAAACAGGAUUAGAUACCCGUGUAGUCC
rnacentral:rRNA from 1 species